rnacentral:ncRNA from 1 species
AAGGGGUGCCGGGAGGACCGGCUGAGAAUAAACCCUAUGAACUUGAUGCGGGUAAUGCCGCCGAAAGGAGUGAAAAAU